rnacentral:rRNA from 1 species
UACGUAGGUGGCAAGCGUUAUCCGGAUUUAUUGGGUGUAAAGGGCGUGUAGGCGGGAGCGCAAGUCAGAUGUGAAAACUCAGGGCUCAACCCUGAGCCUGCAUUUGAAGCUGUGUUUCUUGAGUGCUGGAGAGGCAAUCGGAAUUCCGUGUGUAGCGGUGAAAUGCGUAGAUAUACGGAGGAACACCAGUGGCGAAGGCGGAUUGCUGGACAGUAACUGACGCUGAGGCGCGAAAGCGUGGGGAGCAAACAGG